UAUGAAGCUUGUUUGGGCUUCUCGUUUACGGCAUGUUUUUGUCUUUUUCCCUCGUUCUACGGCUCUUAUACGAGAUUCCUGUAAAAAUCACGUAAAAAGGUCAUUUCUGCUCGGUUUACAGCAAACUAAAGCUCAUGAGUUAAGAUUGUA
rnacentral:ribozyme from 15 species